rnacentral:rRNA from 1 species
AUGGCGACGACGGAGGCGGGAGGCAAUGGAUUCGAGUAUCUAUCAGAUCCGAUUGACAGGUAUGUUUGCUGGCGCAAAUUAGGAGUGCUCUGUUGUUUUGGCAGGUUCCCGUUGCCGGAUCUCGUAGGCGGCGACUGCCCACCGGACGGCGACCCCGUCCAAACUCUGGCCUUCGCGGCCGCCGAUUCGAGCAUUGGUGAUGUGGGCGAUGCGGCACUGACAGUUCAACUAGGCCUGAACAGCACCUGCGAUGGCCUGAGCUUGUCAGCGCCAGACUUGGAACAGUCAACUGGCAAAGACGAUCCGCAUGCGCCGGGCUGGACAAAGAGUUUAACAAGAGCAUCCCACGGAUUGAUUGGUUGGAAGGAGAACUGCAACAAGAUAUGCUGCUGA